rnacentral:rRNA from 1 species
GGAGGGGACAACAGUUAGAAAUGACUGCUAAUACCCGAUGUGCCUACGGGUGAAAUAUUUAUAGCCUGAAGAGGAGCUCGCGUCCGAUUAGCUAGUUGGUGGGGUAAGAGCCUACCAAGGCAGCGAUCGGUAGCUGGUCUGAGAGGAUGAGCAGCCACACUGGGACUGAGACACGGCCCAGACUCCUACGGGAGGCAGCAGUGGGGAAUUUUCCGCAAUGGGCGAAAGCCUGACGGAGCAAUACCGCGUGAGGGAGGAAGGCUUUUGGGUUGUAAACCUCUUUUUUCAAGGAAGAAGAAAGUGACGGUACUUGAAGAAUAAGCAUCGGCUAACUCCGUGCCAGCAGCCGCGGUAAUACGGAGGAUGCAAGCGUUAUCCGGAAUCAUUGGGCGUAAAGCGUCCGCAGGUGGCAUAUCAAGUCUGCUGUCAAAGACAGAAGCUCAACUUCUGGUCGGCAGUGGAAACUGGUAAGCUAGAGUACGGUAGGGGUUGAGGGAAUUCCCAGUGUAGCGGUGAAAUGCGUAGAUAUUGGGAAGAACACCAGUGGCGAAAGCGCUCAACUGGGCCGUAACUGACACUCAGGGACGAAAGCUAGGGUAGCGAAAGGGAUUAGAUACCCCUGUAGUCNA